rnacentral:rRNA from 1 species
UACGGAGGGUGCAAGCGUUGUCCGGAUUUAUUGGGUUUAAAGGGUGCGUAGGUGGCUUAUUAAGUCAGUGCUUAAAGUCUGCAGCUCAACUGUAGGAAUGGCAUUGAUACUGAUGAGCUUGAGUAAAGUUGAGGUAGACAGAAUUGAUGGUGUAGCGGUGAAAUGCAUAGAUAUCAUCAAGAAUACCGAUUGCGAAGGCAGUUUACUAAGCUUUAACUGACACUGAGGCACGAAAGUGUGGGGAUCAAACAGG